CUUAAUGGUGCCUCUACUGGCAUCGGAUUUGAUUCACCAAUCGAACCCAAUUCUGUAUACAUCUAUCCUUCCACCUCAUGAACUUCAUCAAGUUUAAUUUUACAGGCAUUAGCUCAUUCACCAAAGAACUCCUUUUCCAAAAAGACUGUCAGGCUGCAGACAAAUACCUUUUGUUCUGUAGUGAGGUAGAAGUAGUACCCUUUAGUUUUCUUUGGGUAUCCUAUGAAUAAGCAUCUAUCGGACUUCGAUCCAGACUUAUCUGUUUUUAAAUGCUUGACAUAAGCUGGAUACCCCC
rnacentral:lncRNA from 1 species